UACGAAGGGGGCUAGCGUUGCUCGGAAUUACUGGGCGUAAAGGGCGCGUAGGCGGAUCUUUAAGUCAGAGGUGAAAUCCCAAGGCUCAACCUUGGAACUGCCUUUGAUACUGGGGAUCUUGAGUCCGGGAGAGGUGAGUGGAACUGCGAGUGUAGAGGUGAAAUUCGUAGAUAUUCGCAAGAACACCAGUGGCGAAGGCGGCUCACUGGUCCGGUUCUGACGCUGAGGCGCGAAAGCGUGGGGAGCAAACAGG
rnacentral:rRNA from 1 species